CCCAUUUUUCAAGGUUUGAUAGAUCUUUUUGCUGGAGACUCAUUUAUAUUAUUAGAUGUUUUAUAAAGUAAACAGUCGUCAGCAAAAAGACGAAACUUACAGAAGACAUGCUGAUGUAGGUCGUUUAUGAAUAACAAAAAUAAAGUUGGGCAUAACACUGUGCUCUGAUGAACACCAGAGUCAACAGCUAAUUUGGAAGAUUGCACACGUUAAUUAGGACUACCUGUAACUUGUUUCACAACAAACUUUUAUCCAAAGUAAAUUAUUUUUUACGUAUACCAUAGUGAUUAAGUUUUGUUAUUAAUCUUUCAUGAGGGACCUUAUCGAAAGCUUUAGAAAAAUCUAAAAGUGUUGAAUCAAUCUGUUUACCAUCUGCCAAAUAUUCGGCUAUGUCCUGUAUGUUGAUAACAAGUUGUGCUUCACAGGAACGUUUACUCCUAAAACCAUGUUGGCAAUCAUUUAAAAUAUUAUUUAAAUCUAAAUAUUUUCUAAUAUUGCUUGUUAAGACGUAUUCUAAUACCUUACAGCAAAUAUCCGUUAGCACAACUGGAUUUAUUUAAUUGCAUUAUGCUUAUCUCCCUUUUUAAAAAUUGGAACAACCUUUUCCUGCUUUCAUCCUUCUGGAAUUUUUCUAUCAUUUAUGAAUUUUUGAAAAAAGAAUCUAAGGAAGGGGGAUACUUCAUCCGAGAUUUUAUGAAGGAAAAUAGCAGCGAUAUUAUCAGGCCCACUGGCAUUAUGGUUGUUUUUAUUUUAAGGGUAUUAAUGAUGCCAUUGAUAUUAAUGGUUAUAUCUGGCAUGAUGGGGUAGGGACUUUUUGGUUUAUGUGGCAUUGAAGAUUCAUCUACCUUAGUAAAUGCACUUUAAAAUUGAAUAUUUAAAAUAUUUGAUUGUGGUUGUGGAUCACUAUAAAGUAAUCCAUCUUUAACUCUCAAGGGUGUGACUCCUGAUUUUUCCGUCUUUUCCCCUUUAAUAUAUUGCC
rnacentral:lncRNA from 1 species